rnacentral:rRNA from 1 species
CCAAACUGCAGUCGAACGAGACCUUCGGUCUAGUGGCGCACGGGUGCGUAACGCGUGGGAAUCUGCCCUUGGGUUCGGRAUAACAGUURGAAAYGACUGCUAAUACCGGAUGAUGACUUCGGUCCAAAGAUUUAUCGCCCAGGGAUGAGCCCGCGUMGGAUUAGCUWGUUGGUGAGGUAARAGCUCACCAAGGCGACGAUCCKUAGCUGGUCUGAGAGGAUGAUCAGCCACACUGGGACUGAGACACGGCCCAGACUCCUACGGGAGGCAGCAGUGGGGAAUAUUGGACAAUGGGCGAAAGCCUGAUCCAGCAAUGCCGCGUGAGUGAUGAAGGCCUUAGGGUUGUAAAGCUCUUUUACCCGGGAUGAUAAUGACAGUACCGGGAGAAUAAGCCCCGGCUAACUCCGUGCCAGCAGCCGCGGUAAUACGGAGGGGGCUAGCGUUGUUCGGAAUUACUGGGCGUAAAGCGCGCGUAGGCGGCUUUGUAAGUUAGAGGUGAAAGCCCGGAGCUUAACUCCGGAACUGCCUUUAAGACUGCAUCGCUAGAAUUGUGGAGAGGUGAGUGGAAUUCCGAGUGUAGAGGUGAAAUUCGUAGAUAUUCGGAAGAACACCAGUGGCGAAGGCGACUCACUGGACACAUAUUGACGCUGAGGUGCGAAAGCGUGGGGAGCAAA